rnacentral:snRNA from 1 species
GGACCUCCGGGCAACCGGCAGGCAUCCAAAUUAUGGAAACGAUACAGAGAAGAUUACCAUGGUCCCUGCGUAAGGAUGACCGUAAAGCAAUCAAGAAGAAAAACAUUUUU